rnacentral:lncRNA from 1 species
GUUUCUUGUUAAAGGUUUCGACAUGUUUAAUAUUUAUAUACAGUUUCGAGCGGCCAGAACCCUUCCUUCUUCUCUAGGAAACCUGCGCAGCCCACACCCACAUAUCGAAUCCGACCCGAUCCCACACAAUGUACCCAACGAAGUUUGGUUUUCUUAUCCGUCCAUAUGAUUUGUAGUGAUGGAGAAAUACGUUUCACAUCCAUAAUCGGUUCAUUAUGCCCCUUAACUAUUAAAAUCAAAACUAAAUUUAUGUUCAUUAAACUCCAUUGUUAACAAUCAAGAACACUUUUGGGUUUUUAUCUUUUUCAUAAAAUCUGAACCCAAAUUUAAUAUCAUUUGUUCUCUUAAUCAAACCAAGCAAAACUCCACUGAAAUUUCUCCAUUUCAUCAUCUCAAUUGCGAAUUUAAUCGAAGAACAUUUUAGGGCUUGUGCGGACGAUAUCUCCUUCAAUUCUCAACUUUUUCAGGUGAUUCUAAAUCCCAACUUGCUUAACUAUUCGUGAUAUACAAAAGCCCUCUAUCAAUUUCAGUGAUAGAAGGAUCAUUUAUCCUAAUUUAAUUUUAGUUGAAAUUAGGGUUCUUCAUGCAUAGAAUUUGGGGCUCUUAGAUUUAUACUUAUGUUUUGAUGAAAUUGAAAGUUUAAUAUUUUUAUAUAUCAUACUAGUGUAUUGUGUGUAAAUUUUGGGAAUUUUUAGAUACCAAUUGGAAUUUUGGUGAAUUAUUUAUGUUUUAAUCACUAGAUAAAACAAAUGAAAAUACAAGAUAAUUUUAAAUAAAUUCAAUAAAGAUUUUUAUUGGUUAUUUCAGAUUAUGUAAACACUGGGGAAUUUUUAUACAAAUUUUCUUAAUUUUUUUUUUUGGGGAAAUUGUGAGUUUAAUGUGGAUCUAUACAUGUUUUAGUUAUAUAAAAAUACAAGGUUUCCACAAAUAAAUCUUAUAUAUUUUUUUACUGAUUUCUAUUGAUUUAUAUAGUUAUAUUGGGACUCUUAUAUUGUCUUUUCAUAAUUUUAAAUAAUUAUCUUAUUAAAGGAUUUAUGGAAUUGCUAAAUCAAUAAAACUCCCUUAUAAAAUUUAUUAUUUUAAAUUAAUAUAGGUGAUAAUCAUGAAGUGUAAUUUAUUAAUUUGUUAUACUAAUUUAUUUGAAUUUGAAGCAUUUAUGGAAUAUGAUAACGUAAUGAAUUGGUGUUAUUAUUAAUCAUGACAACUUAUACAAAAUACCGAUUUAUAUGUUAUUUGAAAACUCAUAUGAGUCCCUAAAUAGGAGAACCUAAUUUCCUAAAAUUUAUAUAUUGUCCGUUUGCUUGGGAUUCAGUUAUUCAUUUUAGGGUGAUUAUCAUUUUAGAUAUAAUCUAGUUCUUGUCGUGCGGUAUCUCGCGGAACAUCUCUUCGCAACCUAUGAGUAAUCUCUUCCACUUCCCCUUUUUAACUUUUCAAAUUUUGGGGUGCAUCACGUUUCACUUUUCGAUUUACUUAACAUGAUAUGAUUAAGUGUUAUUAUGUGAACAUCUUAUGUGUAUUCUUUUAUUCUAUAUGCUAUCUGAUAUCAAGUCUAUUGCAUGCUAUUGUGUCUAGUGGAUCCACGACUGACUAGGUUCCCCACGACCAUAGGUGGUAGCCUAGUAUCGCCAACGGUAUUAGACUCGCUCCUCGGGGCUUGAGCCUAAUGCACACUAUUGUCAAGAGUCUAUUUAUUUUGGUUGUUUGUGUUGUUAUUUGAUUGGGUAUUCCUGUUAGGUGAAUUUGGAUAUGUGGAUAUGUUGACUAUCAUAUGAGACCAAUUUCAUACUAACCUUGAGGUGCAUGUUAAAAAUAUAUUUUUUUAAAAGAAAUAAAUAUAAAACUGUUUUCUAUAAAAGGAGGAAAUUAUUCACCAACAUAUUUGUUGACCCAAAAAUAUAUUUUUCUAACGUAAUGCUUGACCCAAAAAUAUAUUUUUCUAACGUAAUGCUUGACCCAAAAAUAUAUUUUUCUAACGUAAUGCAAGUUUUCAAAAUUGAUGAUCAAGUGAUGUGGACACGUAGCAUGAGCCUUAGGAAAUUAAACUGAAAUCUUGAUAUGUUUGUUUUGAAUAAUGUAUGAACAAUUUAGAUUAUUAUAUGUUAUGCGACUAUUUAAAUGGAUAUGCUUUUAAUAUUAAAACAAUUAUUAGUCGUCAUGAGCUAUGGGCAAUCAUCAUGCCCCGUACCUUUCCGCUGCGGGUCGGGGUGUGACAGCUACACCGCCGCCGACCCUCACCACCCCGGUGAUUAAGUAAAGAAGUGGUGAGUGUUUACCGCAUAGGGGAAGGAGACAGAGAGUUGAAUAUAGUUUACCCUUUCUCAAAAGACGUGACCACCCUUUAUGUUUUAAUACAAGAGGGGACUUAGAGAGGAGAAUUGACAUGACAAGAUGCGAUUUCAUGAGGAGAGCACCCCUUUCACCCUUAUUUAGCUGGUUAAAAGUUCCAUGUUAAUAAUAAGAGUAUAUUUAGAACUUAGAAGUCCCGGUUAAGAGUUUAAUUGUUAGUAUAAAAUUUAAUAGAUAGAUGUUUAGCUGGGAGUUUUAUUAUAUUGUCUGGUCUUUGGUUUUUUCAAUAACAGUAGUGAAAAUUCCACAAAAGUAUAGAGUGGUUUGUUUAUAUGUUCGACGUGUUUGUAUGAUAUUCAAAGGGGCUGGGCUGGCCGUGCCAACAUGGAGACGGUCUUUCUUUCCACACUCAAUUAGACACAGUCAGUUAUAGCUGUUGCCUCCGUUACAAAUAUUUCAACUUGGUGGCAAGUACAAAUAGGAAUCAUAAGCUAUGCUAUGCUAUAUUAUUUUAGAAAUAAGUCCACCUGCAAUGAUAGUUAAUCAAAUCCCUUGAAUAGGAUUACCAUGCCCAUCUCUGUCAUUGUACAUGAAUUGUGUCAUCCUAGGUAUGUUUGUAGCACACUCGAUAAACUUCUUUGAAAAAACGAGAAUAACCACAGGCUCGUUCUUUGUUAACGUCUCCAGGAUUAAACCUUUGAUGUACGUUCUUGCUUCUUCUUCGGUUGCGCCAUUGUCAUGCAUAUAACACUGGAUUGGUUUUGGAAUAUCCCCUCUUGCAAUUUCCUCCUUCAAGUAACAAGACAAGGAGCUGUUGCUUAGGAUGAUGAUUGUGACACUAGGGCGGACCUGUGCCUUAGAGACAUAAAACGAAGAUAGACUUAGUUUAAUUAUGUUAUAAACUCUUCAUUUCCUGUUUAAAGACAAUGUAACACGCUUGUUUGAUAAAUAAAAUAUAACUUUGUAUGC